rnacentral:rRNA from 1 species
UUCGGGGCGGGUCGACCGGUCUGCCGAUGGGUAUGCACUGGCCGACGCGUCCUUUUUGCCGGAGACCGUCCCUACUCUUAACUGAGCGGGGGCGGGAGACGGCACUUUUACUUUGAAAAAAUCAGAGUGUUUCAAGCAGGCAGCUCGCUCUUGCAUGGAUUAGCAUGGGAUAAUGAAAUAGGACUUUGGUGCUAUUUUGUUGGUUUCGAACACCGAAGUAAUGAUGAGAAGGGACAGUCAGGGGCACUCGUAUUCCGCCGAGAGAGGUGAAAUUCUCAGACCAGCGGAAGACGAACCACUGCGAAAGCAUUUGCCAGGGAUGUUUUCACUGAUCAAGAACGAAAGUAAGGGGAUCGAAGAUGAUCAGAUACCGUCGUAGUCUUUACCAUAAACCAUGCCGACUAGGGAUUGGAGGAUGUUCACUGAUUGACUCUUUCAGCACCUUACGGGAAACUAAAGUCUUUGGGUUCCGGGGGGAGUAUGGUCGCAAGGCUGAAACUUAAAGGAAUUGACGGAAGGGCACCACCAGGUGUGGAGCCUGCGGCUUAAUUUGACUCAACACGGGGAAACUUACCAGGUCCAGACAUUGUGAGGAUUGACAGAUUGAGAGCUCUUUCAUGAUUUAAUGGGUGGUGGUGCAUGGCCGUUCUUAGUUGGUGGAGUGAUUUGUCUGGUUAAUUCCGUUAACGAACGAGACCUUAGCCUGCUAAAUAGUGACGCGAACUCUUUGUUCGUGGGCCACUUCUUA